AUUUGGUGGUGUGGACACUUCCUAAGAAGAUCUUAAAAUCUUUCCCAUGUGUCAUAGAAUUUUUCUCCAUUUAUUUGGGAGAAGCUAAGAAUAUAACUACGCAUUU